UAGGUCCCCAUCCUGUUCGGGCCAAAGAAGAAAAUGCCAAUGAUUGGGCAUCCGACAGGAGCCACAAAUCCGAAUCGGUUGUACCUCGAACACUUCCUCAAUGAUUCCUUCAAAGGCGUCGUAGUCGGCGUCUUUAAAAAACAGCUUCAUCCGACCAACACCACGGUUGAUGACAUGAAAGACCAUUCCACCAGGGGCGACGCGUGCACUUCGAGGCAUCACAACAAGACAAACAAUCCAAGACG
rnacentral:misc_RNA from 1 species